UUUACCCAAAAAGAAACGCUAAUGUUUAAUGAGAAUAAAUAGCUUCCCACCACUGCAUUUCUAGACACCACUGAACACCACUAUUCCAUUGUCUUCCCCUCUUUCUCUCUCAAGCUCUCUGGUCUCUGUUGCUUCUUCUUCUCCUUUUAGAAGGCUAUGAACAAAUCAAUGGCACUAGUUUUGCUCAUUAUGGUUCAACUCAGUCUGUUCUAUUCGCUUGGGGAGAGCUGUGACCUUCACAACAACGAAUUUCCGAUGGAGGAAGAAUGCACGACCGUAGCUUGCAAGGACUUAUGCGUCGAAAAAUUCCAAUUAACAACCAUAAGGGCUGGAUGCGAUUGUCUUCCAACAGAACCACACAACACUUGCAGAUGCCUCUCUUCAUGCCCUUCCUAUAUUGAAACAGGAAAGGCUCAUAUAUGUCCAUACCCAUCGAUUAGCACAUAUAUUGCUUUGAUGCUAACAUAUCUCUACCUGUAGCUGCUUAAUAUACCUUUGUGAACACUGUAACUGUAUGGGUUAAUUCACUAUUUCCAUAACAUUAGCCCAUGAUUGUCACCUUUUACCAUCUUUUCCAUAUCAAUAUACCAAGAGAUACAAAUUACUUCAA